GCCGGCGUAGCUCAGUGGUUAGAGCGAGCGCUUCAUAAGCGUUAGGUCGGAGGUUCGAUCCCUCCCGUCGGCA
rfam:Candidatus Harrisonbacteria bacterium RIFCSPLOWO2_02_FTLL_41_13b rifcsplowo2_02_scaffold_885, whole genome shotgun sequence.